CUUUACAUACGGUAGUCAAAAGACAUCUCCCCGUCAAAGUUCUUUAAGUAAGAUUCUAAAUUCCAAACAUUAUAUACUAUUUUUUUAAGUUAUAUUCUAAACUAGUUUAACGUAUAUUAAAACUAGUUUAGAAUAUAACUUAAAAAAAUAGUAUAUAAUGUUUGGAAUUUAGAAUCUUACUUAAAGAACUUUGACGGGGAGAUGUCUUUUGACUACCGUAUGUAAAGAUGCCUGAUGAUGGUCCAAUAAAGGAUCGAAACGUCGCAUGAAUUUGCAAUUGGUGGUUUGAUUGGCACCCUAUGUCCACUUUCCUGCUAAUCGUCAAAGAAUAUGUU
rnacentral:misc_RNA from 1 species